rnacentral:rRNA from 1 species
GAUGAACGCUGGCGGCGUGCCUAACACAUGCAAGUCGAGCGAAGCACCUUACUUGAUUUCUUCGGGAUGAAAGUAUUGUGACUGAGCGGCGGACGGGUGAGUAACGCGUGGAUAACCUGCCUCAUACAGGGGGAUAACAGUUAGAAAUGACUGCUAAUACCGCAUAAGACCACAGCACCGCAUGGUGCAGGGGUAAAAACUCCAGUGGUAUGAGAUGGAUCCGCGUCUGAUUAGCUGGUUGGUGAGGUAACGGCCCACCAAGGCGACGAUCCAUAGCCGGCCUGAGAGGGGUGAACGGCCACAUUGGGACUGAGACACGGGCCCAG